rnacentral:rRNA from 1 species
CAGCCGCCACGGUAAAACGAAGGGUGCAAGCGUUAAUCGGAAUUACUGGGCGUAAAGCGUGCGUAGGCGGUGAGUUAAGUCUGCUGUGAAAUCCCCGGGCUCAACCUGGGAAUGGCAGUGGAUACUGGCUCGCUAGAGUGUGUCAGAGGAUGGUGGAAUUCCCGGUGUAGCGGUGAAAUGCGUAGAGAUCGGGAGGAACACCGAUGGCGAAGGCAGCCCCCUGGGCCAACACUGACGCUCAUGCACGAAAGCGUGGGGAGCAAACAGGAUUAGAUACCCGUGUAGUCCCUGUCUCUUAUAC